GUUAAGGAUUGUAGCUUUAAAAAUAUAUUAAAAAUAAUUUCGCCUGGCAACAUUAUGCAAAAAAGUAAAAAAAAAAAUAUAACCGUCGAUUCACUUCCUCUUUUCCCGUGUCGUCUCGAGGAGCAUGUCGCGCUAACCUUUUCGAAAUUAAAGUAAAAUAUAAUAUACUCGUGAAAAAUCGUGUGUGAGUUUGUGGAAGGCUGAUCGAUUGAAGAAGCACGUCGCCUGUUCCAUUUUCGGUGUCUGAGCUGGUUAAGGUAACUCGGAUUCAAGGUAAGUCAGGACGAGCCGAGAUUCGAGGAGCCUGGCCAGCCACCGCCGACUGCUGCAUCGUCGCCUACAGCCGAACAAGGUGAGUGCUUCCCACAAUUGACCCAGCCUAUCUUAAAUUCCCUAAUUUCUUGUCGUGUCGUUCGUGUCGUUAAGCUAUAAAAUUAAUCGAAUACAGUCCACAUAUAUAAUUUAAAGAUAUCGAAGUAAAAUAAUCC